CACGUAGGAGGCGAGCGUUAUCCGGAUUUAUUGGGCGUAAAGCGCACGCAGGCGGCCGGACAAGUCGGAUGUGAAAGCCCCGUACUUAACACGGGGAGGUCAUUCGAUACUGUCUGGCUUGAGAGUGGGAGAGGGAAGUGGAAUUCUCGGUGUAGUGGUGAUAUGCGUAGAUAUCGAGAGGAACACCAGUGGCGAAGGCGGCUUCCUGGCCCAUUUCGGACGCUGAGGUGCGAAAGCGUGGGGAGCGAACGGA
rnacentral:rRNA from 1 species